rnacentral:rRNA from 1 species
GACGAACGCUGGCGGCGUGCCUAAUACAUGCAAGUCGAGCGAUCAAGUUUGGUGCUUGCACCACUUUGGAGAGCAGCGGACGGGUGAGUAACGCGUGGGGAAUCUGCCUUUGAGCGUGGGACAACAUUUGGAAACGAAUGCUAAUACCGCAUAAUAACUUUAAACAUAAGUUUUAAGUUUGAAAGAUGCAUUUGCUUCCCUCAAAAGUGAUCCCGCGUUGUCUUAGCUAGUUGGUGAGGUAAAGGCUCACCAAAGCGAUGGUACAGAACCGACCUGGGAGGGGGAACGGCCAAAUUGGGACUGGGACACGGGCCAAAAUCCUACGGGGAGGAGCAGGAGGGAAUUCUUGGCAAUGGAGGAAAGGCCGAACGAGCAACGGCGGGGGAGUGAAGAAGGGUCUUGGAUUGGAAAACUUUGUUGGUAGGGAAGAAAGUGGGGGAGAGUGGAAAGUGCAUGAAGUGACGGUAACUAACCAGAAAGGGACGGCUAACUACGUG